rnacentral:lncRNA from 1 species
CGGGAGGAGUACAAGGAGUGUGACCUACGCGUUUGGAGUGGAAGAAGUGGGUAGUGGGGGGGGGGGAAGGGUCCUACGCGGUGUGUGCCUUUGAGCUGAGUGAAAGAGCAUCAUCUGUGUAAUGGAUAGCUUGUGGAGAGCCGGGGAUGUGUGAGUGUGCUCGCGCGCGCAAUAGGGGAGCGAUGCGGUGUGUGCACCAUGUGGGGGACACGCGUGCGUGCGCUGUAGAGGCGAGCCCUGCUUUACGGAUGUGUGCUUUAGGAAGGAGGUGAGAAUGCCACGUGUGUGCGCCCACUGUAGCAGGGACGGGUGCCGUGUGUGUGCACGCGCACUGGAGGGAGAGUGCUUUGGCUUCGUGUGUGCACACUGAAAUGGGGGGCUGGGGGAUUUGUCACUCACAGUGGCGGGGUGGGAGUGGGCUGCAGAAUCUGUUUGCUCUGGGACAGCAUAGUAACCAUGACCUCUUCCCCUGCCCCUCUCCGACUAGAAAAGCCCAGAGGAGGCAGAGGAGGCGCGUAUUAAGGAGGACCAAACCCCAAAAUAAAGCAGAAAUCCACUUACAUGCUGGACACAGUCUGGAUGCCCAAGAGUCACACAGUGCGCUUUAUGCCCUGCGUAUCAGUCACUCAGCCAGACUAGGCUCCACUGCCCAGUCUUCCUCACCCCUUGCUCCCCCCCGCCACUGCCCGUUGUUUGCCUGUCUGGACUCAGGAGCCCACAGGGCUUUGGGGGUGGGGUGGGGUGAAGAAGCAGGAACACGUGGGGGCUGCCUGCCUUGCUGUCAUCACAGCGGAGCCAUCAGCGCUCCCAGGUCCUCUACUGCCGCUUCCCCCAGCCCCAUCUGCACGCGCCGUGUGCGCCUCGGCUAAGGCAGGCUCAGCAGGGGCUGCUGGCAAGGGAGUGCAGCUAAGUCCCCUGCUAUUUCUGCAAGGGGAUGAUAUGGAAAGUUGGAUGGGGCGGGGGAAUAAGCAGUGCAUUUUUAAAACGCGCUAUUAAAACAUACCAGCAUGGAUCCCACAUAUCCACUUACAUCUCACCGUGCAAAGAGGUUUGCUGCAGCCGGAAGUUGUACCCGUCAGCACCUGCUGAGGGCUUCGUUGACCAAACUGACAGAUGGCUUUUGGAGAAUUUGGCAGUCUUGUUCUUAUUGGAUUAUGGGGCACCACUUUCAGAUAAAAACAUGGACCUGAUUGGCAUCAUCCAGUAUCCAUGGAAACCCUGCUCCAUAAGAUUGGCAUUAUCCUGUAGUAGUGUCACAGCCUGCAGUCGUUUAAUGCCACUUCUUCUGAGGCCAGGAUUCCACGCCCAAGUGCAUUUAGUAGAAACCUUCUCUCUGUCUGCGCCCUGCUGCAUCUGUUGGGCUAGGAAGGAAUGUUUCACCAGUCUGCCACAAGGACAGUAUUCAUGGUUGUCUGGGGUAGGACAUUCUUAGUGGCAGUCUUUCACCUCUGGAGAUCAGUCUUGCUGGAAAUACAUCCAUGCCUGAACCUAGCCAUAUUUAGGACAGGAGGCAAGAACAUCACUUCAUUCAGGCUACUAGCUAAUAGCAGGUUCUGGAAUGCUCUGAUACUGAAUCCCUUGACAUUAAGUCUAUUGGAUGCUAUCAACUCUCUCUGGUCCUCUAAAGGAAGUUGAGCCAGCGGCUGCACAUAGUCAUGGAGCAUAUGUUCUCCCCACUCAUGCAAAGUUGUUUGGUACUUUCUUAAUCUAUGUAAAGUGAGCUUCAACACAAAAGGGUUAGCUGCAUUAUAAAUGCCUGAAAUAUUAAUAAUAAUGUGUGUGCUUUUUUAUGAGUUAAUAGAUGUGUGGGUAAUAGGUAUUAUAAGGAUUAUUGUAGAACACUACGCUAUACUUAACCAUCUGACUGUGAUCUCUGAAAGAGAGAUUGCAUACAUACGGUAUUUAACUCAUUUUUUGUUCUAGAACUAGCAGAUAGUAGCAAACACUUAUUUAUGGUUUUGGAUGUGUUUUGCUGUUUAGGAUAAGCAUUCUGUAAAAUGUGAUUGUUUUGCUUUGCUGUGAUUAUUGUUUUUGUUUUGAUCCUGAUGAGCUGGACCAAAGCUUCACUUUGAGGUUAGUUAAAACCUGCCCCAAAACUUGGUGGAACUCAGUAAAAUUUCUUGUGUGCCCUGGAAGACUCUAUGAACUGCUAGGGAACUGGUAGGAUUACUAUAUCACAUAUACCAAAGAAAUAAAAUCUGAUUCAGAUGGGACGGGAUUUGUGUU